rnacentral:lncRNA from 1 species
ACAAGACACCAAAUAAAAAGCAUUCAGCACAGUGCUUGGCACAAGGGACUCACCCCCUCAAUAUUAACAAGGUUUAUUAUCAGCUUCAUUUUAGGACCAAAAAAACCUCCCAACCCACCCCCCAAACAUAGUGAUCUUAUCUGUCUCUUGAAGGGUAAGCCAGUGAAGGAAGCUGAAGCCAGGAGAAAGGGUAUCUUACUGGUGGAACCUGAAUUAGGAUCAAGGUCUUCUGCCUUUUCCCUGGAGCCUGGUGCUUCCCAUAGUAGGGGGGUGGUUCUCCAUUAUACAAAGGCGGGUGUGCCCCUAAGACUUUUGCCUGGUUUUCCUGGGUAUCACAUAGCUCCUAGGGGUCAUAUGAACUUUUCCAUUUGGCCUCCAUACCUUCUCCAUCCCUAUUAUUAUAUAUGGGGUAUGAUUUUUAUAUAUUUAAGAAUGAAUUUUUAUAUAUUUAAGAACCUCGAUUGCCCUGGUUCUUUUGGUGGCAAAAAUUUCUGCACUUUUGAAGGUAUUAAAUGGAAUUAAAC